rnacentral:rRNA from 1 species
AUACGGAGGGUGCAAGCGUUAUUCGGAAUCACUGGGCGUAAAGGACGCGUAGGCGGGUUGGCAAGUCAGAUGUGAAAUCCUACAGCUUAACUGUAGAACUGCAUUUGAAACUGCUAACCUAGAGUAUGGGAGGGGGAGAUGGAAUUAGUGGUGUGGGGUAAAAUCCGUAGAUAUCACUAGGAAUACCGAAAGCGAAGGCGAUCUCCUGGAACAUAACUGACGCUAAGGCGUGAAAGCGUGGGGAGCAAACAGGAUUAGAAACCCUAGUAGUCC